rnacentral:ncRNA from 1 species
UAAAAAAAAAAAAGAGGAAAGACCGUUCAACUUCUGUCCUGUGUGAUUUCGAGGUCGGCUCCGAUCAGGCGCUGUGCAAGAGGCAGUAUCACCAGGGGAAAUGAAAACGUGCUGCGUCUUCGGAUGUGGUGGGCGCAUUCACGAGGGUGUGUCUCAUUUUAAAUUUCUGGGAUGAUUGACAGAUUGAGCGCUCUUUGUGGUGGAGCGAUUUGUCUGGUUAAUUCCGAUAACGAACUAGACUCUAGUCUAUAAAAAGGUGCUUGGUUCUCUGCACCUUGAACCCUUUUCAGAGGGACACGCGGCUCCUAGUCGCACGAAACGGAGCAAUGACAGGUCUGUAAAGCCCUUAGAUGUCCGGGGCCGCACGCACGCUA